UAGGGAAUCUUCGGCAAUGGACGAAAGUCUGACCGAGCAACGCCGCGUGAGUGAAGAAGGUUUUCGGAUCGUAAAACUCUGUUGUUAGAGAAGAACAAGGACGUUAGUAACUGAACGUCCCCUGACGGUAUCUAACCACAAAGCCACUGCUAACUACGUGCCAGCAGCCGCGGUAAUACGUAUGUGGCAAUCUUUGUCCGGAUUUAUUUGGCGUAAAGCGAGCGCAGGCGGUUUCUUAAGUCUGAUGUGAAAGCCCCCGGCUGAACCGGGGAGGGUCAUAGGAAACUGGGAGACAUGAGUGCAGAAGAGGAGAGUGGAAUUCCAGGUGUAGCGGUGAAAUGCGAAGAUAAAUGGAGGAACACCAGUGGCGAAGGCGGCUCUCUGGUCUGUAACUGACGCUGAGGCUCGAAAGCGUGGGGAGGAAACAGG
rnacentral:rRNA from 1 species